CGUAACAAGGUUUCCGUAGGUGAACCUGCGGAAGGAUCAUUGUCGAAACCCGAGAAAAC
rnacentral:rRNA from 1 species